GCCGUUUACUCCACUUGUCCCUCCCGAGAUCAGAAACACGUCAACAUGCCGCCAACACAUCUGGGAAACGCUCUGAUACUAGGAGUUGUGAUCCAUCAUGUUGCAAUGGGGCUGCUCUCUAGAUCCCCCGAAUGCCUGAGGUCGAUAGAUACCUGCAUCUCUGAUCUGUGCAGAAACAUGGAACAGGCAGGUGCUAUUGGCUCACUGUGUGGCGAUGACGGGUGUCAAAUAAUAGGCUCGGAGGUCUGUAACGUGAGCGUGGGGGCCAUGCUGGAGCAGUUCCCGUCACUGCAGCAGUGUAUGUG